GGUAAUUAGCAGGGAGCUUAGGUGUAUAUAAGACUGGAGAAUAUGUUUAGUGGGGAGAGACGGCUGUAGAGAAGAGUUACGUUUCUGGGUGCAGACGAUUUUAAAACCUUUUCUUUUGCAUGGUUGGCUGCAGUUUACCCACUGUGUUUUUGUUAGAGAACUGCAGAGAUGGGUGAGGCAGAAAAAAUGGCUCUAUUCCUUCACUUAGCUUUUGCUGCACCACCCCUGGCGACUGUCUCACAUAGACCCCUCACAUGUGCAGAGUUGGUGCGACCUGGUGGGGAUGUGAGGACACACAGGUGCCAUUGGGGGUGGCUCCUGACAUGAGGAACAGAAUAAAACCACAUGAUGAGAAUGAGAGUGAUGCGAAGAGAGGUUUUUAUCUACACUGGUUAAUAAAUUAAAAAGCUGUAUUCGGGUCCCACUCAAUGUCUUCGCACUGCUUAGUCUCAAAACAUCUCACAAAUGCAUACAAUUUUAUUUCUCGCAAAAAUGCCGUUCUAAAUGUAAUGUGCAACUAUUGGAAGGAAGAGAGCCA